GUGUCAGCAGCCGCGGUAAUACGAAGGUGGCAAGCGUUGUUCGGAUUCACUGGGCGUACAGGGAGCGUAGGCGGUUAGGUAAGCCCUCCGUGAAAUCUCCGGGCCUAACCCGGAAAGUGCAGAGGGGACUGCUUGGCUAGAGGAUGGGAGAGGAGCGCGGAAUUCCCGGUGUAGCGGUGAAAUGCGUAGAGAUCGGGAGGAAGGCCGGUGGCGAAGGCGGCGCUCUGGAACAUUUCUGACGCUGAGGCUCGAAAGCGUGGGGAGCAAACAGGAUUAGAUACCCUGGUAGUCCACGCCUUAAACUAUGGAUACUAAGUGUCGGCGGUUUACCGCCGGUGCCGCAGCUAACGCAGUAAGUAUCCCGCCUGGGAAGUACGGCCGCAAGGUUGAA
rnacentral:rRNA from 1 species